GUCCUGAGUAAGCCUUGCUGCCCCACCGGGUGGUUCGAGACGAGAGCUAGAAGGGGGGCUGUCUCAGACCUGGUCAUAGAAAAAGGAAUAAUAGUUAAAUGAAGCUGAGGCUCUUGUUGGAGUGUCAAGGUUCAGCAAAUGCCCUGAAGUGGUCAUGCCUGGGUCAUUCACUGACAGGUGAUGCAUAGGAGACCAGAAACUAUAUAAGUGGGAACAAAGGAGCUUCUGCGGCAUGUGGUGCACACACAGCAGCCAAGAAAAAAAUUAUUAAACUCCUGCUGGACAAGAGGACUUUCGCAAAAGACUCAACCAAUAAAUGAACCCUCUUCUUAAAACUCUUGUUUUGAAAUAAACAAGUCCCAGGACAAAAACUUAAUAUGAUCAGAGACUCUGAAGGAUACAAGCAGAAGGCACAUAACUUGGAAGGAAUAGGUAAAGGAAUUUUCAACAAAAGUAAACUUGGGGUGUCACACACAGAUAGGACAAACUCAGUGAAUAUGAUGGCAAGAAAAGCAGAGGCCAAGUCAAAAGGGACAUUUCAUUUUGUCCUUAAUGAAUUUUUCUCUAGAUUUCUAUUCGUAAGCUUAACAUAUGGUUCCCUUCUCAUGCUGUUAUAUCUGAAGUAGGAGAUCUGCUAUAGAAAUAACUACUGCAUUAUGAAUGCCAAUAGGCAAACGUCAGAACACCUCUGUGCAACUGGGCAAGAAAUCUGUUUGUUUUUCUAUAAUUGCACCUAAUUUCUGUUUUUGCCCCCAUUCCUUCAAUGUAGCCAAAAUUAAUCUCUGUCAGUUUGGGGAUUUCCUCUCACCCUUCCCAGGAUUGUACCUAAUUUCUAGAGUAUGUUCCCAGUGGCAAGAGGUGGGGACUGAGGUGUGGGGUUUGAGUCUGAUCUCUGCUAGUCUGUUGUCCAUGCUGUUACUCAAUGUGAAGGUCAUCCAUGGGGCCCACACCCUCAAUAUCUGUCUUCUGCAUGGUAAUUUAUCUUCUGGGAUAUUCUUGUUCCAUCCCUUUGAUGUGGGAGCCACUGUUUGUAUCUCAGUCCUUCCCACACACUUGAAUUCUCGAGGGAGAAGGAAGGAGUGGACCCUCCCGAGGAGUCAUGUUAGUAUUUGUGUUCUCCUGACUUCUUUCUAACUUGCCUCUUUUUGCCCCCCAACCACCACUGAAAUCCUUGUGUAAUGGUGAAUGGGCAUUUUUCCUCUACAUUAUCAAGUAGAUUUAAAAAUCUUAUUUAUGUCUUACAGCUUUCCCAAUAUCUUUGGAGCCUAGAUUUUGCAGACCCAAAAGUCAAAAGAAGUUCAUUUUUUUCUCUAUUUUCUGUUAAGCUCCCUUGCUUGGGGGUAAUGGAACUCAGAAUAGCCUCCCUGCUGUUUUUGAAAGAUGAUAAGAAUGGAGAAGUAAGAGGAAAAUAUUGCAGGAAAACAUUGACUAAUACUUUGAAAGUUUAUCCUACCUAAUAAUUUUCUAUUAAUCAGUUCCCUAGUGAAGGUGGCUGGGAUAGCAUUUGGAAUAAAGACGGAAUCUUUCUAUGUAUCCUAACUGUAACAUACAAGCUCUAAUAAAAUACACAGGAGAUUUU